GCGGCAGUAGUCUAGCCUGGUUAAAUCGAAAGAUUCCAGUUAGGACUCCGCCUUGCCAAGGCGGGAACUCGGGUUCAAAUCCCGACUGCCGCAC
rnacentral:tRNA from 1 species